rnacentral:rRNA from 1 species
CCUACGGGAGGCAGCAGUGGGGAAUAUUGGACAAUGGGGGAAACCCUGAUCCAGCGACGCCGCGUGAGUGAAGAAGUAUUUCGGUAUGUAAAGCUCUAUCAGCAGGGAAGAAAAUGACGGUACCUGACUAAGAAGCCCCGGCUAACUACGUGCCAGCAGCCGCGGUAAUACGUAGGGGGCAAGCGUUAUCCGGAUUUACUGGGUGUAAAGGGAGCGUAGGUGGUGCAGCAAGUCUGAUGUGAAAGGUCGGGGCCCAACCCCGGGAGUGCAUUGGAAACUGUUGAACUGGAGUGCAGGAGAGGUAAGCGGAAUUCCUAGUGUAGCGGUGAAAUGCAUAGAUAUUAGGAGGAACACCAGUGGCGAAGGCGGCUUACUGGACUGUAACUGACGCUGAGGCUCGAAAGCGUGGGGAGCAAACAGGAUUAGAUACCCGAGUAGUC